rnacentral:rRNA from 1 species
GAUGAACGCUGGCGGCGUGCCUAAUACAUGCAAGUCGAGCGAACAGACGAGGAGCUUGCUCCUCUGAUGUUAGCGGCGGACGGGUGAGUAACACGUGGAUAACCUACCUAUAAGACUGGGAUAACUUCGGGAAACCGGAGCUAAUACCGGAUAACAUGUUGAACCGCAUGGUUCAACAGUGAAAGACGGUCUUGCUGUCACUUAUAGAUGGAUCCGCGCCGCAUUAGCUAGUUGGUAAGGUAACGGCUUACCAAGGCAACGAUGCGUAGCCGACCUGAGAGGGUGAUCGGCCACACUGGAACUGAGACACGGUCCAGACUCCUACGGGAGGCAGCAGUAGGGAAUCUUCCGCAAUGGGCGAAAGCCUGACGGAGCAACGCCGCGUGAGUGAAGAAGGUCUUCGGAUCGUAAAACUCUGUUAUUAGGGAAGAACAAAUGUGUAAGUAACUAUGCACGUCUUAACGGUACCUAAUCAGAAAGCCACGGCUAACUACGUG